rnacentral:tRNA from 1 species
GGCCCCGUAGCUCAAUUGGUAGAGCAGUUGACUCUUAAUCAAUUGGUUGAAGGUUCGAGUCCUUCCGGGGUCACAA